rnacentral:lncRNA from 1 species
CCAAAUGUAAGUGAGGAAGAGUUGCACAAAGUCGUUGGUCUCAUUCUCUCUUCCAGAGUUCUCCAGUCUAGGGUUAUUACAGUCUUGUCCAACUUUUCCUGAUUCCAUUUGGGAUUUUCAUGGCAACAAUGUUGGAGUGAUUGGACAUUUUCUUCCUCAGAUCCAUUUGCAGAUGAGGAAACUGAGGCAAAAUGCUUAAAUGACUUGCUCCAGGAUCCCAUAGCUAGAGGAUUCUAUUGAGGCUAAGGUAUAUGGUUUGAUAGAAGAAGGAUCCAGAGACUUUC